rnacentral:sRNA from 1 species
AGCAAAAAUAAAGGACGCGACCGCCGCAGCCUCUGCGGAGCCGGGCUCGGGUCGCCGGAGCCGCGCCCCACCCCGCCAGCUCCAGAGCCACGACUAAUGGCUGAAGGAUAAAUCAACAUGGCAACUAUGAUUCCACCAGUGAAGCUGAAAUGGCUUGAACACUUGAACAGCUCCUGGAUUACAGAGGACAGUGAAUCUAUUGCUACAAGAGAGGGAGUUGCUGUUCUGUAUUCUAAACUGGUUAGCAAUAAGGAAGUAGUACCUUUGCCCCAACAAGUUUUAUGCCUCAAAGGACCACAGUUGCCAGACUUUGAACGUGAGUCUCUUUCAAGUGAUGAGCAGGACCACUAUUUGGAUGCCCUUCUUAGCAGCCAGCUAGCAUUGGCAAAGAUGGUAUGUUCAGAUUCCCCAUUUGCUGGGGCACUUAGAAAACGACUGCUUGUACUCCAGCGUGUCUUUUAUGCACUUUCUAAUAAAUACCAUGACAAAGGCAAGGUGAAGCAGCAGCAGCAUUCUCCGGAGAGCAGUUCUGGUUCAGCAGAUGUCCAUUCUGUUAGUGAACGCCCCCGGUCAAGCACUGAUGCACUUAUAGAAAUGGGUGUUCGAACUGGUCUAAGUUUAUUAUUUGCGCUUCUCAGACAAAGUUGGAUGAUGCCUGUGUCAGGACCUGGUCUCAGUCUUUGCAACGAUGUCAUCCAUACUGCAAUUGAAGUUGUGAGCUCUUUGCCACCAUUAUCAUUAGCAAAUGAAAGCAAGAUUCCUCCUAUGGGCUUGGACUGCUUAUCGCAAGUAACAACAUUUCUUAAAGGAGUCACUAUUCCUAAUUCUGGGGCAGACACUUUAGGUCGUAGAUUAGCUUCUGAGUUGCUGCUUGGUUUGGCAGCUCAACGAGGCUCAUUGCGAUAUCUUCUUGAAUGGAUAGAAAUGGCUUUGGGGGCUUCGGCAGUUGUACACACCAUGGAGAAAAGCAAACUACUCUCAAGCCAGGAAGGAAUGAUCAGCUUUGACUGCUUUAUGACCAUAUUAAUGCAGAUGAGGCGUUCUUUGGGUUCAUCUGCUGAUCGGAGUCAGUGGAGAGAACCAACCAGAACAUCGGAUGGCUUGUGCUCCCUUUACGAGGCAGCAUUAUGUCUCUUUGAAGAGGUUUGCAGAAUGGCUUCUGAUUAUUCGAGAACAUGUGCUAGCCCAGAUAGCAUUCAGACUGGUGAUGCUCCCAUUGUCUCCGAAACCUGUGAGGUUUAUGUUUGGGGGAGCAAUAGCAGCCAUCAGUUGGUAGAAGGUACACAGGAGAAAAUACUGCAACCCAAACUGGCUCCUAGUUUCUCUGAUGCACAGACCAUUGAAGCUGGACAGUACUGCACUUUUGUCAUUUCUACGGAUGGCUCUGUUAGAGCUUGCGGGAAAGGCAGCUAUGGGAGACUGGGCCUUGGAGACUCCAAUAAUCAGUCAACUUUAAAAAAGUUAACAUUCGAGCCUCACAGAUCCAUUAAAAAGGUUUCAUCUUCUAAAGGAUCUGAUGGUCACACUUUAGCUUUUACGACAGAAGGAGAAGUCUUCAGUUGGGGAGAUGGUGAUUAUGGGAAACUGGGGCAUGGAAAUAGUUCAACACAGAAAUAUCCCAAGCUUAUUCAGGGACCUCUACAAGGAAAGGUAGUUGUUUGUGUGUCAGCUGGAUACAGACAUAGUGCUGCUGUCACAGAGGAUGGGGAAUUAUACACAUGGGGUGAAGGAGACUUUGGAAGAUUAGGUCAUGGUGACAGCAAUAGUCGUAACAUUCCAACAUUAGUAAAAGACAUUAGCAAUGUAGGAGAGGUUUCUUGUGGCAGUUCACAUACUAUUGCUCUGUCUAAAGAUGGGAGAACUGUAUGGUCUUUUGGAGGAGGAGACAAUGGUAAACUUGGUCAUGGUGAUACCAACAGAGUGUAUAAACCUAAAGUUAUUGAAGCUUUACAAGGAAUGUUCAUUCGCAAAGUUUGUGCUGGGAGCCAGUCUUCACUUGCUUUGACAUCAACAGGGCAGGUAGGACUAAGGGAUGAGUACAGAAGACUUAGAGUAUUUCAGAGGAUUAGGUGACUAAAAAGUAAUAAUUGUAUUUAAAUUUUAAAGUUCAAAUAAAUACAUUUUUAGGCAACAUACUGAAAUGAAAUAUUUUCUUCUGUUUGAAGUAGAGUAUCUGAGAAGGAACCAGGUUUUCUAACCUGGCAUAUGUGACCCAGAUAAACCUUAGUGGAGCCUCUGUUCUUUGUAUUAAACUGACUUUCUAAAAUGUUUUAGCAUUUAGCUUCCCUUAAACCUUUUCUAAAACAUGGAUAGUUGGGGAAAGCUGAACUAAAUCUUGAUGGAGCCAGUGAUAUGAACUAAGAAGGCAAGAGGGUGAUCAAAAAGGAGGGUAAAGAGAACACUUAGGUAUGGAAAAUAUCCUGAGAGAGUUAGGUGUUUCUGAGAAACACUGUGAAGUC